rnacentral:rRNA from 1 species
ACACAUGCAAGUCGAGGGGCAGCAUGGUCUUAGCUUGCUAAGGCCGAUGGCGACCGGCGCACGGGUGAGUAACACGUAUCCAACCUGCCGUCUACUCUUGGACAGCCUUCUGAAAGGAAGAUUAAUACAAGAUGGCAUCAUGAGUCCGCAUGUUCACAUGAUUAAAGGUAUUCCGGUAGACGAUGGGGAUGCGUUCCAUUAGAUAGUAGGCGGGGUAACGGCCCACCUAGUCUUCGAUGGAUAGGGGUUCUGAGAGGAAGGUCCCCCACAUUGGAACUGAGACACGGUCCAAACUCCUACGGGAGGCAGCAGUGAGGAAUAUUGGUCAAUGGGCGAGAGCCUGAACCAGCCAAGUAGCGUGAAGGAUGACUGCCCUAUGGGUUGUAAACUUCUUUUAUAAAGGAAUAAAGUCGGGUAUGCAUACCCGUUUGCAUGUACUUUAUGAAUAAGGAUCGGCUAACUCCGUGCCAGCAGCCGCGGUAAUACGGAGGAUCCGAGCGUUAUCCGGAUUUAUUGGGUUUAAAGGGAGCGUAGAUGGAUGUUUAAGUCAGUUGUGAAAG